AUGCAUUUUCUUAUUUCUUCUUUUUUUUUUCCCUCUCCCCCAAAUAAUCCAUUAUUUAGCAUGCAUUUCUAUGUCUGCUUGCCAAGGGUCAGGGUUGAUGUGGUUCAGCCCUCGUGCUGCAAGCAGAGGCAGCCACCAGUGGUGUUUCCCACAGCUGGAGUUCAGUUGUCAGGCUCGCAGAGACCUCGGCAAGUCUCUCAUACUGAGAGAUCAGCAGACUCGCCUCUUGGAAAUGGUUCUGGCUUCGCACGGAUUCUGAGUCUAAAGGACCCACCUGUGUGAGUGAGCUGGAGUCCCAGCUGGAUCAACACAGAACUUGGGAAAUGGGAGGUGGAAUCUGACAUUGUCUAGACUCUAUUUCACAGAAAAAAAACAUCAUCUACAAAUAGAUUGCUUUUAACUAAGAAGGAGCAUCAAGUAAGUAUUGGGUGCAAUUCACUUAUGUCAAAAUAAAGUCCUUAAUUAUUUGUUGGCUUGAAGAAUUUCUGUCUGCAGUGCAGAAUGGCUUUCACACUACCUUGGGUCCAAGAGAUCUGUGAGGAUGGCCCUGGUGCCUCUAGAAAGGCAGAAAACAAAUGGCAAAAUGGAUCAUUUAAAUUCUCUGGGGGCAGGGAGAGGCCUCC
rnacentral:lncRNA from 1 species